AUGUACCUUUUCUGGUGGGACUGCCAAACCCUUAGGACGUCAUCCUCGAACUGGGAUCGGGUAGGGAACAACCUAAGGGAGAGGAUGGUGAACCUGCCUGAGAGUGAAGACACAGAGGACAGCGCAGGCAAGGAGCAGGUUCCUGAUAUGAUUGUCUGAGGCCCUGGGUCCUGGUGCUGGAAGGCAGCCGCACCCUGGCAUUUUCAGAUACUAGAACCAGCGACCCCCUUUCAUACUGAAUCCUGUUUGACUGGGUGUUUAUCACUUGACUGACAUCCUCUAAGAAUUGUGCAGUGGGCCGUGUGCAGCCAGCCACCUCCUUCCGGAAAGACAAACUCUCAACUCUGUCAGAAAAUGGGCUGUGUCUGUGCCUCUCUCUCUUUCCUAGAACCUGAGGACCUCCCUCCUGACUCCCCACACCUGGGGCUGACCUGCACGCCCUCCGAGCCACAUUACCUGCGCAGCCUUGCCUGGCGAUCGUGCUGAGCAGCACCUACCUGGUCACUGAAGGGAGGCUGGCCUGGCAAUGGACCGCAAGAUUCAAGGUGGAGAAUGUCCCUCGUUUCCAUCCUGUUUCUGUGACUUGUAUAUGACAGUAUUUAGGGAAGGUGAAAGGCAUACCUUUGUGGCUCCUGUCCUGAUAAGGUGGGCAACCAAUUGCCACAGUCAGGGUUGGGGAGGGGCACAGGGAGGUGGUGGAGCCCUGCACCUUCACCCCAUUACCUGUGCUGGAGUUCCUGCCAUCGGAGGCUUCCUGAGAAUUUCCAGCCACCAGAAGGGGGCAGACGGUGACUUCUGAAGCUGGGACACAAUGGGUCUGUGAGGAGGCAGGCAAGAGGGGGUGGAGGCGCCAGGCUGAAACCACCACCUCCACCACCUUGGGACAAGCUGGGCCCCCAUCAGCUGGGCUUGGCUCUCCGGAAGCUUCAGGUGUGGGCUAGCUCAGAGGAUCCCAGGCCCACUGCUUGUCUAGUCAGGUCACCAGAUUGGGGAGGGCUUGACAGGCUAGGGGGCUGGCAGUCUGCCUUAGGAGCAGGGGCUGGGGCUGGUUUUGAAGCUGAAGAACAGGCACAUUGUCUUUACCUGGACCAUACAUUUAACUAGGGGGUUGGAGGGGGCUGGUGGAGAUUUGAGGUGGGUUUAAGUUUUCUGAAGCCAGCCAGGUGCAGUGGCUCACACCUGUAAUCCCAGCACUUUGGGAGGCUGAGGUGGAAGGAUCGCUUGAGCCCAGGAGUUUGAGACCAGCCUGGGCAACACAGGGAGACUCUGUCUCUACAACAACAAAAACGUUCCCCUAAGCCACCCCUUGGCUUGGCCACUGCUCAGGGAAGUCCUUCCAGCCUCAGAAACCCCCAGAGCUGCCGAAUCGUCCCGCAUGGAAGACAGACACAGAUGCAAGUGUCUAAAUGCCUUUGUGCAUCCUGGUUCCAGGUGGGAGGCGCUGGGAGAUGGGGGCCUCUCACUUAGAAACUGCCUCCCCUCCCAAACCUGGACACAUGGCCCACUGCUACACACCACCACCACCAGUGUUGGCUGUCGCAGGACGCCGAGGGCCUGUGGUAUGUCUGGAGCUUCCUCGUGGACAGGCCUUUCAGCAGUGUGCCAUGAUGGGCCCAGUCCCUGUUGAAAUUGAGUCCUUUGUGGAUUUCCUAAGCUACAAAGCAACCCCAGCCCUGGGAUAUCUCAAAGAGAAUUUUUAAAUGACAUGAGCUGGACAUGCAACCACAAGGUGUCUGCCCAGAUUAAGGCGAACUCCAGCAUGGGCCUUUGAAGGGCACUCGAUUUCCCAGGGUGAAGAUGGAUUUCCACAACAGAAUUCACAAAAGCCUCCCCAGCCCACACUCGUCCACUGGGACAGGGCUCACUGUCCCUGGGGGCUGCGGGGAAGGUUCCAGGAUAGCAGGUAUUUUUCACAUCCCACCAUACACUGCUGCCCAGGCAGUGGUACCAGCACCAGAGUCCCCGGACCUGUGUCUGCCCUAAGUGUCCUGCCUCCAUGCUGUCCCUUCUCAGCACAAGACCCACUGUGUGUCUAGCCCCCCACCCCACUGGUUACAUAUCCAUGGCUCCUGCAGCCUCAGAGCAAAAUCCAGACGUUUAUUGUGUUUCUGUGUGGCCUCCAGCCUCUCCACUUCCUCCCUCCACACACAACCAGCCACCUGGAUGUCCAGUCUCUGGAGCCCUGGGCUUGCCCUGGGACCGUCCCACAUUGCCAUACUCUGUCUGGACUCUCUUGCCCCACUCUAUGCAGCUAACUCCUCUUCAUCCUUCGAGAGUCAGCUAAAAUGUGGCCUAUUGCAACAGGACUUCCCUGCCUACCAGGACCCUCGGUCCUGUCCUUCUGCUCAGUGCUGUCACAGAUCUCAUCAUCACUUAUUUAUGUCACUACAGUCACAAGCCCAGCUCAGUGCCCAGCACAUAGUAGGUGUUCAACAAACAUGUGUUAUGUGAACUCAGGAGCCCCUCAUAUGUGUCUGCUCCCUCCGGCAGAGGCCUACCUUGAGCGGGGCUUUGACCCUAAAUCCAAGGGUAUCCAAGAGGGACAUCUGAGCCAACCUUGGGUCUCCAUCUGCCCAUGACUCCCCACCCCCCUUCCCUCCCCUGAAAUGCACUUUCUUCAUUCACUACAGAUCUAGAACCUCCUGCAGGAACUGAGCUGAGCUGGCUAGCUGCAAGCUUCUAGGCAGGGAACAGGCAUGGCCAGUCUGGAGGCUGCCUGAGAGACUGGGGCUUUGCUUCUCAGGCCUCACCUGCACCACCCUCCUUAGCUCACUCUCUGAAGCCCACCUUCCUGGAAAAGCAGGAGCCCCAGCCCCACCAUUCCACUAAGCUCCCACCUCCAGCCUCUUGCUGGAAGUCUCUU
rnacentral:lncRNA from 10 species